rnacentral:rRNA from 1 species
GAUGAACGCUAGCGGCAGGCUUAAUACAUGCAAGUCGAGGGGCAGCAGGACUGUAGCAAUACAGUUGCUGGCGACCGGCAAACGGGUGCGGAACACGUACGCAACCUACCCAAAACUGGGGGAUAGCCCGGGGAAACCCGGAUUAAUACCUCGUAACCUUUUUAAGUGGCAUCACUUGAUAAGUAUAGCUCCGGCGGUUUUGGAUGGGCGUGCGCCUGAUUAGGUAGUUGGUGCGGGUAACGGCCCACCAAGCCUGCGAUCAGUAACUGGUGUGAGAGCACGACCAGUCACACGGGCACUGAGACACGGGCCCGACUCCUACGGGAGGCAGCAGUAAGGAAUAGUGGUCAAUGGACGCAAGUCUGAACCAGCCAUGCCGAGUGAAGGAUGAAGGUCCUCUGGAUUGUAAACUUCUUUUAUGGGGGACGAAACCCGGAUAUGCUUAUCCGAUUGACGGUACCUCAGGAAUAAGCACCGGCUAACUCCGU